rnacentral:rRNA from 1 species
UACGUAGGGAGCGAGCGUUGUCCGAGUUUACUGGGCGUAAAGCGCACGUAGGCGGACUAUUAAGUUGGUGGUGAAAUGCCGAGGCUCAACCUCGGAACUGCCUCCAAAACUGUUAGUCUUGAGGUAUGGAGAGGGAACUGGAAUUCCAGGUGUAGCGGUGAAAUGCGUAGAUAUCUGGAGGAACACCCAUGGCGAAGGCAGGUUCCUGGCCAUAUCCUGACGCUGAGGUGCGAAAGCUAGGGGAGCGAACGGGAUUAGAUACCCCGGUAGUCCUAGCCGUAAACGAUGGAUACUAGGUGUUAGUGGUAUCGACCCCACUAGUGCCGCAGCUAACGCAUUAAGUAUCCCGCCUGGGGAGUACGGUCGCAAGGUUGAA